GUAGAACGCUGAAGAGAGGAGCUUGCUCUUCUUGGAUGAGUUGCGAACGGGUGAGUAACGCGUAGGUAACCUGCCUUGUAGCGGGGGAUAACUAUUGGAAACGAUAGCUAAUACCGCAUAACAAUGGAUGACACAUGUCAUUUAUUUGAAAGGGGCAAUUGCUCCACUACAAGAUGGACCUGCGUUGUAUUAGCUAGUAGGUGAGGUAACGGCUCACCUAGGCGACGAUACAUAGCCGACCUGAGAGGGUGAUCGGCCACACUGGGACUGAGACACGGCCCAGACUCCUACGGGAGGCAGCAGUAGGGAAUCUUCGGCAAUGGGGGCAACCCUGACCGAGCAACGCCGCGUGAGUGAAGAAGGUUUUCGGAUCGUAAAGCUCUGUUGUAAGUCAAGAACGAGUGUGAGAGUGGAAAGUUCACACUGUGACGGUAGCUUACCAGAAAGGGACGGCUAACUACGUGCCAGCAGCCGCGGUAAUACGUAGGUCCCGAGCGUUGUCCGGAUUUAUUGGGCGUAAAGCGAGCGCAGGCGGUUUGAUAAGUCUGAAGUUAAAGGCUGUGGCUCAACCAUAGUUCGCUUUGGAAACUGUCAAACUUGAGUGCAGAAGGGGAGAGUGGAAUUCCAUGUGUAGCGGUGAAAUGCGUAGAUAUAUGGAGGAACACCGGUGGCGAAAGCGGCUCUCUGGUCUGUAACUGACGCUGAGGCUCGAAAGCGUGGGGAGCGAACAGGAUUAGAUACCCUGGUAGUCCACGCCGUAAACGAUGAGUGCUAGGUGUUGGAUCCUUUCCGGGAUUCAGUGCCGCAGCUAACGCAUUAAGCACUCCGCCUGGGGAGUACGACCGCAAGGUUGAAACUCAAAGGAAUUGACGGGGGCCCGCACAAGCGGUGGAGCAUGUGGUUUAAUUCGAAGCAACGCGAAGAACCUUACCAGGUCUUGACAUCCCGAUGCUAUUUCUAGAGAUAGAAAGUUACUUCGGUACAUCGGUGACAGGUGGUGCAUGGUUGUCGUCAGCUCGUGUCGUGAGAUGUUGGGUUAAGUCCCGCAACGAGCGCAACCCCUAUUGUUAGUUGCCAUCAUUCAGUUGGGCACUCUAGCGAGACUGCCGGUAAUAAACCGGAGGAAGGUGGGGAUGACGUCAAAUCAUCAUGCCCCUUAUGACCUGGGCUACACACGUGCUACAAUGGUUGGUACAACGAGUUGCGAGUCGGUGACGGCAAGCUAAUCUCUUAAAGCCAAUCUCAGUUCGGAUUGUAGGCUGCAACUCGCCUACAUGAAGUCGGAAUCGCUAGUAAUCGCGGAUCAGCACGCCGCGGUGAAUACGUUCCCGGGCCUUGUACACACCGCCCGUCACGACCACGAGAGUUUGUAACACCCGAAGUCGGUGAGGUAA
rnacentral:rRNA from 1 species